rnacentral:rRNA from 1 species
GGAUGGUUCCUACGGGAUAAAGAUUAUCGCCAAAAGAUGAGUCCGCGUACGAUUAGCUAGUUGGUGAGGUAACGGCUCACCAAGGCUUCGACGGGUAGCGGGUGUGAGAGCACGACCCGCGACAUCGGGACUGAGACACUGCCCGGACUCCUACGGGAGGCUGCAGCGACGAAUCUUCCGCAAUGGGCGAAAGCCUGACGGAGCAAUGCCGCGUGCAGGAUGAAGCGGCUACGCCGUGUAAACUGCUGUCAGGGGGUAGAAACACUGAUCACCCCCAAAGGAAGAGCCGGCUAACCCUGUGCCAGCAGCCGCGGUAAGACAGGGGGCUCGAGCGUUAAUCGGAAUCAUUGGGCUUAAAGGGUGCGUAGGCGGUUGCUAAGUGUUCUGUGAAAUCCCUUGGCUCAACCAAGGAAUCGCAGGGCAUACUGGCAGCCUUGAGGCAUGUAGGGGCGGACGGAACUGUAGGUGGAGCGGUGAAAUGCGUAGAUAUCUACAGGAACGCCGAUGGUGAAGACGGUCCGCUGGGCAUGUCCUGACGCUGAGGCACGAAAGCGUGGGGAGCAAACAGGAUUAGAUACCCUGGUAGUCCACGCCCUAAACGAUGUGCACUAGAUCGGUGCGGCUCUGACGCCGUAUCGGUCGAAGUAAAAACGAUAAGUGCACCGCCUGGGGAGUACGGUCGCAAGGCUAAAACUCAAAGAAAUUGACGGGGGCUCACACAAGCGGUGGAGCAUGUUGCAUAAUUCGAGGCAACGCGAAGAACCUUACCUGGGUUUGACAUGGCCGGAUUAGCUCUUGGAAACAGGAGUGACACCUUCGGGUGGAACGGUCACAGGUGCUGCAUGGCUGUCGUCAGCUCGUGCUGUGAAGUGUCGGGUUAAGUCCCUUAACGAGCGCAACCCCUAUCGUUAGUUGCUAACGGGUCAUGCCGAGUACUCUAGCGAGACUGCCGGUGUCAAACCGGAGGAAGGUGGGGAUGACGUCAAGUCCUCAUGGCCCUUACAUCCAGGGAUGCAAACGUGCUACAAUGGUGCGCACAAAGCGAUGCAAGACAGCGAUGUGGAGCAAAUCGCAAAAAACGCACCCCAGUCCGGAUUGCAGGCUGCAACUCGCCUGCAUGAAGUCGGAAUCGCUAGUAAUCGGAGAUCAGCUACGCUCCGGUGAAUAUGUUCCUGAGCCUUGUACACACCGCCCGUCAAGUCAUGGGAGCCGGUAGCGCCCGAAGUCGCCACGAUACUGUGGUGCCCACGGCGAGAUCGGUGACUGGGACUAAGUCGUAACAAGGUA